GAGUUUGAUCGUGGCUCAGGAUGAACGCUGGCGGCGUGCCUAAUACAUGCAAGUCGAGCGAACAGACGGGAGCUUGCUCCCCUGACGUUAGCGGCGGACGGGUGAGUAACACGUGGGUAACCUACCUAUAAGACUGGAAUAACUCCGGGAAACCGGGGCUAAUGCCGGAUAACAUGUUGGACCGCAUGGUCCUACAGUGAAAGACGGUCUUGCUGUCACUUAUAGGUGGACCCGCGCCGUAUUAGCUAGUUGGUAAGGUAACGGCUUACCAAGGCAACGAUACGUAGCCGACCUGAGAGGGUGAUCGGCCACACUGGAACUGAGACACGGUCCAGACUCCUACGGAGGCAGCAGUAGGGAAUCUUCCGCAAUGGGCGAAAGCCUGACGGAGCAACGCCGCGUGAGUGAUGAAGGCC
rnacentral:rRNA from 1 species